rnacentral:rRNA from 1 species
GAUGAACGCUGGCGGCGUGCCUAAUACAUGCAAGUCGAGCGAACAGACGAGGAGCUUGCUCCCCUGACGUUAGCGGCGGACGGGUGAGUAACACGUGGAUAACCUACCUAUAAGACUGGGAUAACUUCGGGAAACCGGAGCUAAUACCGAAUAAUAUAUUGAACCGCAUGGUUCAAUAGUGAAAGACGGUUUUGCUGUCACUUAUAGAUGGAUCCGCGCCGCAUUAGCUAGUUGGUAAGGUAACGGCUUACCAAGGCAACGAUGCGUAGCCGACCUGAGAGGGUGAUCGGCCACACUGGAACUGAGACACGGUCCAGACUCCUACGGGAGGCAGCAGUAGGGAAUCUUCCGCAAUGGGCGAAAGCCUGACGGAGCAACGCCGCGUGAGUGAUGAAGGUCUUCGGAUCGUAAAACUCUGUUAUUAGGGAAGAACAAAUGUGUAAGUAACUAUGCACGUCUUGACGGUACCUAAUCAGAAAGCCACGGCUAACUACGUG